AUUUUGUUUGAUGGAGGUUGGAGGAGCCGACAGUGUACAGUUUAAUGCCUGUACAUGGCCUAGGGUUAAGUAGGCCAUGGCCUGUAUGGAUUUUACUGGUUCUGUCUUCUCGGUCAAAUUGAGAUAGCAAGUUGUUAUUUUUCAACUUUCAGUUUAUACAUUUAAAUUUUUUAUUUAUUAUUCUACUGUAUUGUUUUACUGUGAUUUGGGGCAAUGAUUUAAAGGGCUUAUUUUGUCUGCAAGGCAAGCACCUUCAGAACGCAGCUGCCGAGCGCAAUUCAUUGACCCCGGAAUGUAGGAAUUUAGAGCACUGCGUGUGAAGGUGGACGUCCAUAUAAAAACGGCUAAUUUGGAUAUUACUUAUUCUCGUGUUGUUCGACAGCAAGGGACGCUGCCUACCAUUGAAGUAAUUGUUGUACAAAAUUGUUUUGUGGGUUUCUCCUCUUUCUCUACAUGCAAAUAAGCUAAAUAGUGUUGCACGUCAUGAUUUGCAAUUGGGUGAGUUGCAGUGGAGUUCUGAUCAUGUUGGCCUUGGUUAACAUUACUACAGCUACCACUAAUUUACGCCAAGAAGUAUUUGUUACUCACUUAGUACCACAUGUUUCUGACAAUUUGAUGGUCUAUCAUAGGGAACAUCGGUCACCACCAGCGCUGCCACUAGUUGUAGCUGAUGUAACGAUUGAACGUACGACUCCCAAACGUUUGGCCUUUGCUGAAACACCUAGACCAACUUAUGUUCCACCGACCUCAACACCGGGCAUUAUCAACCUAGUUGUUCCAGUAAUUGUGGAAACUCGAACUACUGCUCGAUUAGCUGAUUCCUCUGCGCUUUAAUUUAACGGUCCUUGAGUUCACUACCUUCGUAAGUUUUAAUCUUUUUAUUUUCACAAGGAACCAUCGCCCACCAUCACACAGAAGAGAUAGGCCUUUUGUGUCCUGUAAAGGUGUUGGCUAAUUUGUAUGGUGGUGGCCCUAUAAAGUCUCUUAAAGUGUGUCUUCUAUUUAUUUUGCCACAAACACCAUCAAUAAAUUCAUCUGUUACACAAGACUCGAUUCAAUCUGAGUAUUAUGGAUGAGACAAACAAAAACGGUGGGUAUUUGCAGUAAUUAAUUUAAGUUUCACGUUGUCCCACAAAUAUUUCGGCGUUCGUCUUUAACUUGAACUUACCCCACCCACUUCGUUUCGUGUUUCAUCGAUUCGGUUAUGUCAUCCCUACCUACCACUCGAAAAGGGGUAGGCGUUUCAUUUCACACCCAACCUGCGCACCCUGUGCUGUUUUCGACUUCUUUCUUUGGUAAAUUUUCUCAGUUUGUGGUUACGUGUUGAUCAGGUCAAACCUUUGCGCGUGCCCAUCUCUUCUCUCUGCAAGCUGAAAUGGAUGACUGCUUGUUUUCUCCUACGGAUCCUGACUCGGUGAGUGAAUAAUUUGUUUUAAACAUUUGGCAUUUUAGAAUGUUAAGUGGCAGAUGUAAUCUUGCCGAUGGCAUAAACGCGGAGAUGUGGUAUCCUCUUCCCAAUCUACAAUUGAAUUACAAAGUGCGUCAAAUAAUCUCCGUUUAUUUCUUGACAAAUCUCGUUUCUUUUGUGUCACGUUCAUUUUAGGGAUUUUGUUAUUAUUCUCUUAGUUUCAGUGCUUGACGAAUUCAAAGAUUAUCUCAUUUAGCCGCUGACUGUGAAUCCUUUCGCCAAGUAGGAGAACGGCAGUACAACUGAAAAUAACGCCAGUCAUCGCCGUGUGCUGCUUAUCCUGUGGCUGCAACGAACCGUGUGGGCUAGAAAAGGAAACGAGCUUUUGACAGAUGGAUUCCAUCAGUUCGCUGGAAUAUCAUCUGAGAAUGUCAAUGAACUCGGAAUAUGAAAUGAAAAAAGUGAAUGUGACGCGAACGACUCGCCUUCCAUUUGUCGCCUUAUAAAAGUUUCACAUCUUUUAGCUGUUGGCAAUCAAGCAUUAUCAUUGACAAUAUCGACGAUCUUUUGAUAGACCUUCAUUUUCAGUAGGGGGUGUAGGAUGGACGGACCACCGUCUUACUUUACGCCACCCACUUUGCCUUAUGUAAGUGUGUUUUUAUCGAUUCUGUUAAGUCAUUCCUUCCUACCACCUAAAAAGGGUAGGCGUUUUAUUUCACACCCAACCUGCAUCCCAAUCCAUUUUCUGGUUCUUUCUUUGAUAAAUUUUCUUAGUUUGCUCUUACUCGACACUCGUUGAGGGCCCGUCUCUUCACCCCACGGAUUGAAGGAUAUUAUCGCUUACUAUUUACUCUGCGUAUUUAUUUAAGUUUAAUGCGAACGUGUAAUUAAUCUACUUGGUUUUUUAGGUACGUACCUCCUUACACCAGCAGUCAUUUGUCAUCUUAAUUGCAAUGUUAACGAUUGGUCGAUUUUUUAUUUGAAACAGCAUAAAAUAGCAUAUUUUUUUUUUUCGUACAUUAUUUCGAAAGAUGUCAAA